UACGUAGGGUGCGAGCGUUAAUCGGAAUUACUGGGCGUAAAGCGUGCGCAGGCGGUUCGUUAAGUCAGAUGUGAAAGCCCCGGGCUCAACCUGGGAACUGCAUUUGAAACUGGCGGGCUUGAGUGUGGCAGAGGGGGGUGGAAUUCCGCGUGUAGCAGUGAAAUGCGUAGAGAUGUGGAGGAACACCGAUGGCGAAGGCAGCCCCCUGGGCUGAGAUUGACGCUCAGGCACGAAAGCGUGGGGAGCAAACAGG
rnacentral:rRNA from 1 species